rnacentral:tRNA from 1 species
AUUUUCUUAGUAUAAAAGUAUUUUUGACUUCCAAUCAAAAGGUCUAGUAUUGUCUAGAGAAAAUA